GUGGGGAAUCUUAGACAAUGGGCGCAAGCCUGAUCUAGCCAUGCCGCGUGAGCGAUGAAGGCCUUAGGGUUGUAAAGCUCUUUCGCUGGGGAAGAUAAUGACUGUACCCAGUAAAGAAGCCCCGGCUAACUCCGUGCCAGCAGCCGCGGUAAUACGGAGGGGGCUAGCGUUGUUCGGAAUUACUGGGCGUAAAGCGCGCGUAGGCGGAUUGGAAAGUUGGGGGUGAAAUCGCGGGGCUCAACCUCGGAACUGCCUUCAAAACUCCUAGUCUUGAGUUCGAGAGAGGUGAGUGGAAUUCCGAGUGUAGAGGUGAAAUUCGUAGAUAUUCGGAGGAACACCAGUGGCGAAGGCGGCUCACUGGCUCGAUACUGACGCUGAGGUGCGAAAGCGUGGGGAGCAAACAGGAUUAGAUACCCGAGUAGUCC
rnacentral:rRNA from 1 species